rnacentral:sRNA from 1 species
GAGCGAUCAUAAGGGAGCUGACUGCAAAUCUGCCGUCAUCGACUUCAAGGUUUGACUCGAGCAAUAGUGAGAGAACGUUGCCGCAGCCAACGGCCUGAAGGGUGAGGAGCUUUAGCUCCGAAUAAUCCUUCCCGCUAUAGAA